rnacentral:pre_miRNA from 1 species
AGUGUAAUUCCUGGAUCACAUGGUAAUUCUAUUUUUAAUUUAAUAAAUCACUAUGCUAAUUUCCACAAUGGUUGCACCAUUUUAUAUUCCCACAACAGU